AACGCUAGCUACAGGCUUAACACAUGCAAGUCGAGGGGAAACGACAUCGAAAGCUUGCUUUUGAUGGGCGUCGACCGGCGCACGGGUGAGUAACGCGUAUCCAACCUGCCCACCACUUGGGGAUAACCUUGCGAAAGUAAGACUAAUACCCAAUGAUAUCUCUAGAAGACAUCUGAAAGAGAUUAAAGAUUUAUCGGUGAUGGAUGGGGAUGCGUCUGAUUAGCUUGUUGGCGGGGUAACGGCCCACCAAGGCGACGAUCAGUAGGGGUUCUGAGAGGAAGGUCCCCCACAUUGGAACUGAGACACGGUCCAAACUCCUACGGGAGGCAGCAGUGAGGAAUAUUGGUCAAUGGGCGAGAGCCUGAACCAGCCAAGUAGCGUGCAGGAUGACGGCCCUAUGGGUUGUAAACUGCUUUUAUAAGGGAAUAAAGUUAGUCUUGUGAGACUUUUUGCAUGUACCUUAUGAAUAAGGACCGGCUAAUUCCGUGCCAGCAGCCGCGGUAAUACGGAAGGUCCGGGCGUUAUCCGGAUUUAUUGGGUUUAAAGGGAGCGUAGGCCGGAGAUUAAGCGUGUUGUGAAAUGUAGACGCUCAACGUCUGCACUGCAGCGCGAACUGGUUUCCUUGAGUACGCACAAAGUGGGCGGAAUUCGUGGUGUAGCGGUGAAAUGCUUAGAUAUCACGAAGAACUCCGAUUG
rnacentral:rRNA from 1 species